CCUACGGGGGGCAGCAGUGGGGAAUAUUGGGCAAUGGAGGAAACUCUGACCCAGCAACGCCGCGUGAAUGAUGAAGGUCUUCGGAUUGUAAAGUUCUUUUCUAAGGGAAGAAGAAAGUGACGGUACCUUAGGAAUAAGCCUCGGCUAACUACGUGCCAGCAGCCGCGGUAAUACGUAGGAGGCAAGCGUUAUCCGGAAUGACUGGGGAGAAGGGGGGCGUAGGUGGUUUGAGAAAUUGGUAGCGUAACUCCCAGGCUCAACCUCGGAACUACUACGAAAACUGUCGGACUUGAGUGCAGGAGGGGCAACUGGACUUCCUGGUGUAGCGGUGGAAUGCGUAGAUAUUAGGAGGAACACCAGUGGCGAAGGCGAGUUGCUGGACUGUAACUGACACUGAGGCACGAAAGCGUGGGGAGCAAACAGGAUUAGAUACCCUUGUAGUC
rnacentral:rRNA from 1 species